rnacentral:rRNA from 1 species
AUACGGAGGGUGCAAGCGUUACUCGGAAUCACUGGGCGUAGAGCGCGCGCAGGCGGCUAUUUAAGUUGGAUGUGAAAGCCUACGGCUCAACCGUAGAACUGCAUCCAAAACUAUUUAGCUAGAGUGUGGGAGAGGAAGAUGGAAUUAGUUGUGUAGGGGUAAAAUCCGUAGAGAUAACUAGGAAUACAAAAAGCGAAGGCAAUCUUCUGGAACACUACUGACGCUGAGGCGCGAAAGCGUGGGAGGCAAACAGGAUUAGAAACCCCAGUAGUCC